rnacentral:rRNA from 1 species
GACGAACGCUGGCGGCGUGCUUAACACAUGCAAGUCGAACGAUGAAGCCGGAGCUUGCUCCGGUGGAUUAGUGGCGAACGGGUGAGUAACACGUGAGCAAUCUGCCCUUGACUCUGGGAUAACUGCGGGAAACUGUAGCUAAUACCGGAUACGACACCUUGGGGCAUCCCAGGGUGUGGAAAGAAUUUCGGUCAAGGAUGAGCUCGCGGCCUAUCAGCUAGUUGGUGAGGUAAUGGCUCACCAAGGCGACGACGGGUAGCCGGCCUGAGGGGGUAACCGGCCACACUGGGACUGAGACACGGCCCAGACUCCUACGGGAGGCAGCAGUGGGGAAUAUUGCACAAUGGGCGCAAGCCUGAUGCAGCAACGCCGCGUGAGGGAUGACGGCCUUCGGGUUGUAAACCUCUUUUAGUAGGGAAGAAGCGAAAGUGACGGUACCUGCAGAAAAAGCACCGGCUAACUACGUGCCAGCAGCCGCCGUAA